GUUCUACUGCGGCGUUGGUGACUGCCAAUAAUGUUUUAUGAUCUAUGCUUCGCUAAUACGGGAACUGAUUUAAGCGUCUAGUGGCAGUAGACCGAGCAUGUACUCGGAAACUUAAAACUAGAGCUAAGGUACCCACCUGGAUUUAUUCCAGGUCAAAAACUGAGGUAAGACGGCGUUGCGGGGAACCC
rnacentral:other from 1 species